GGGCGCGUAGCUCAACGGGAGAGCGCUCGCCUCACACGCGAGAGGUAGCAGGUUCGACACCUGCCGCGCCCA
rnacentral:tRNA from 1 species